rnacentral:rRNA from 1 species
GAGUUUGAUCUUGGCUCAGAGCGAACGCUGGCGGCAGGCUUAACACAUGCAAGUCGAGCGCCCGUAGCAAUACGGGAGCGGCAGACGGGUGAGUAACACGUGGGAACGUACCCUUUGGUUCGGAACAACACAGGGAAACUUGUGCUAAUACCGGAUAAGCCCUUACGGGGAAAGAUUUAUCGCCAUUGGAGCGGCCCGCAUCUGAUUAGCUUGUUGGUGAGGUAACGGCUCACCAAGGCUACGAUCAGUAGCUGGUCUGAGAGGAUGAUCAGCCACACUGGGACUGAGACACGGCCCAGACUCCUACGGGAGGCAGCAGUGGGGAAUAUUGGACAAUGGGGGAAACCCUGAUCCAGCCAUGCCGCGUGAGUGAUGAAGGCCCUAGGGUUGUAAAGCUCUUUCGGCGGGGAAGAUAAUGACGGUACCCGCAGAAGAAGCCCCGGCUAACUUCGUGCCAGCAGCCGCAGUAAC